rnacentral:rRNA from 1 species
CACGUAGGGUGCGAGCGUUGUCCGGAAUUAUUGGGCGUAAAGAGCUCGUAGGCGGUGUGUCGCGUCGGCCGUGAAAACCUGUGGCUUAACUGCGGGCUUGCGGUCGAUACGGGCAUCACUGGAGUUCGGCAGGGGAGACUGGAAUUCCUGGUGUAGCGGUGAAAUGCGUAGAUAUCGUAAGGAAGACCAGUGGCGAAGGCGAGUCUCUGGACAGCAACUGACGCUGAGGCACGAAGGCCAGGGGAGCAAACGGG